rnacentral:rRNA from 1 species
UCGGGAAUUUUGGGCAAUGGGCGAAAGCCUGACCCAGCAACGCCGCGUGAGGGAUGAAGUAUUUCGGUAUGUAAACCUCGAAAGAAUGGGAAGAAUAAAUGACGGUACCAUUUAUAAGCUCCGGCUAACUACGUGCCAGCAGCCGCGGUAUACGUAGGGAGCAAGCGUUGUUCGGAUUUACUGGGCGUAAAGGGCGCGUAGGCGGCGCGGUAAGUCACUUGUGAAAUCUCUGAGCUUAACUCAGAACGGCCAAGUGAUACUGCUGUGCUAGAGUGCGGAAGAGGCAACCGGAAUUCUUGGUGUAGCGGUGAAAUGCGUAGAUAACAAGAGGAACACCUGAGGCGAAGGCGGGUUGCUGGGCCGACACUGACGCUGAUGCGCGAAAGCCAGGGGAGCAAACG